rnacentral:rRNA from 1 species
GGGGUGCAACACGAGGACUUCCCAGGAGGUCACCCAUCCUAGUACUACUCUCGCCCAAGCACGCUUAGCUGCGGAGUUCUGAUGGGAUCCGGUGCAUUAGUGCUGGUAUGAUCGCACCC